rnacentral:sRNA from 2 species
CCCACACAGUGCCCACAUGCGUGAUUCUUUCUUGCCCCAAAAUGUCAAGUGGCGACUUGAAAAAAACGUGGCCCAGCCCAGUCUCUCGUUAGGCAAAUGUUUCUAGCCUCCGAAACUUUCCUAUGGCGAAAUAGGUAUUGGUUUGACAGGGUUCGCUUACAGCCUUCAGGGUCCGAAUUGUAAGUUUGGCUGUGUUUAUGUUCAAGUUAUAUUCUUGUCUGAAAGGAGGGUUUCUGGUGUUUCUGUCAGGGAGUGGUAGCGGUUUUUUCCCGCUUGAGGCCAUCCUGUCUGUCUUUAAUACUGUGUUUAGAAGAGGACGGGAAACGAAAGAAAGCAGAGAGCCAACAUGAUAUUGAAGGGACAAAACAUCUUCUUAUCCAUACC